rnacentral:rRNA from 1 species
GACGAACGCUGGCGGCGUGCUUAACACAUGCAAGUCGAACGGAAAGGCCCUGCUUUUGUGGGGUGCUCGAGUGGCGAACGGGUGAGUAACACGUGAGUAACCUGCCCUUGACUUUGGGAUAACUUCAGGAAACUGGGGCUAAUACCGGAUAGGAGCUCCUGCUGCAUGGUGGGGGUUGGAAAGUUUCGGCGGUUGGGGAUGGACUCGCGGCUUAGCAGCUUGUUGGUGGGGUAGUGGCUUACCAAGGCUUUGACGGGUAGCCGGCCUGAGAGGGUGACCGGCCACAUUGGGACUGAGCUACGGCCCAGACUCCUACGGGAGGCAGCAGUGGGGAAUAUUGCACAAUGGGCGGAAGCCUGAUGCAGCAACGCCGCGUGCGGGAUGACGGCCUUCGGGUUGUAAACCGCUUUCGCCUGUGACGAAGCGUGAGUGACGGUAAUGGGUAAAGAAGCACCGGCUAACUACGUG